AGGAAGUGGGGAUGACGUCAAGUCAUCAUGGCCCUUACGGUCCAGGGCUACAAACGUCCUACAAUGGUCCAGACAACGGGUCGCGAGACCGCGAGGUUAAGCAAUCCCUGAAAACUGGGUCUCAGUUCAGAUUGCAGUCUGCAACUCGACUGCAUGAAGUUGGAAUCGCUAGUAAUCGCAGAUCAGCACGCUGCGGUGAAUACGUUCCCGGGCCUU
rnacentral:rRNA from 1 species